rfam:Homo sapiens chromosome 5, GRCh38 reference primary assembly.
AGCUGUAUAUUAUAGUGGAAUAAAUGUGGACUUUGAAGUUAGAUACACCUGGGUUCAAAUCCCAGUGCUGUCA